rnacentral:rRNA from 1 species
GCUCGAGUGGCGAACGGGUGAGUAACACGUGAGUAACCUGCCCUUGACUUUGGGAUAACUUCAGGAAACUGGGGCUAAUACCGGAUAGGAGCUCCUGCUGCAUGGUGGGGGUUGGAAAGUUUCGGCGGUUGGGGAUGGACUCGCGGCUAUCAGCUUGUUGGUGGGGUAGUGGCUUACCAAGGCUUUGACGGGUAGCCGGCCUGAGAGGGUGACCGGCCACAUUGGGACUGAGAUACGGCCCAG